AUGCAAGUCGAACGAGCUUCCGUUGAAUGACGUGCUUGCACUGAUUUCAACAAUGAAGCGAGUGGCGAACUGGUGAGUAACACGUGGGGAAUCUGCCCAGAAGCAGGGGAUAACACUUGGAAACAGGUGCUAAUACCGUAUAACAACAAAAUCCGCAUGGAUUUUGUUUGAAAGGUGGCUUCGGCUAUCACUUCUGGAUGAUCCCGCGGCGUAUUAGUUAGUUGGUGAGGUAAAGGCCCACCAAGACGAUGAUACGUAGCCGACCUGAGAGGGUAAUCGGCCACAUUGGGACUGAGACACGGCCCAAACUCCUACGGGAGGCAGCAGUAGGGAAUCUUCCACAAUGGACGAAAGUCUGAUGGAGCAAUGCCGCGUGAGUGAAGAAGGGUUUCGGCUCGUAACACUCUGUUGUUAAAGAAGAACACCUUUGAGAGUAACUGUUCAAGGGUU
rnacentral:rRNA from 2 species